rnacentral:rRNA from 1 species
GACAGAGGUGCCGAGCGUUAGGCGGAGUCACUGGGCUUAAAGCGUGUGUAGGCGGAUCGUUAAGUGUCUUGUGAAAUACCUCGGCCCAACCGAGGAACUGCGCCCAGUACUGCGUUGCUUGAGGAUCCAAGGGGUGCAUGGAAUUCCCGGUGGAGCGGUGAAAUGCGUUGAUAUCGGGAGGGACUCCGGCGGCGAAAGCGGUGCACUGGUGGAUUUCUGACGCUGAGGUGCGAAAGCCAGGGGAGCAAACGGG